GAGACCACCCUAUCUCGCUACUUUCUUUUGCGUCCAAGAUCCUUGAAAGACUUGUGCAUGUGAGAGUGACAGACUUCCUCAAGUCCAAUUCUCUGCUCGACCCACUUCAGUCUGGUAUUCCGCGCUCAGCACUCUGUGGAAAUGGCUCUGACCAAAGUAUCAAAUGAUCUACCCGCUGCAAAAUCUCAUGGUCACUACUCUAUCCUAAUUCUCCUUGACCUUACCGCU